rnacentral:siRNA from 1 species
GCUCUGUGCCCAUAAGCCCAUUGA